CUGGGUUAGUCGGGUCCUAAGCUGAGGCCGACAGGCGUAGGCGAUGGAUAACAGGUUGAUAUUCCUGUACCACCUAUAAUCGUUUUAAUCGAUGGGGGGACGCAGUAGGAUAGGCGAAGCGUGCGAUUGGAUUGCACGUCUAAGCAGUAAGGCUGAGUAUUAGGCAAAUCCGGUACUCGUUAAGGCUGAGCUGUGAUGGGGAGAAGACAUUGUGUCUUCGAGUCGUUGAUUUCACACUGCCGAGAAAAGCCUCUAGAUAGAAAAUAGGUGCCCGUACCGCAAACCGACACAGGUAGUCAAGAUGAGAAUUCUAAGGUGAGCGAGCGAACUCUCGUUAAGGAA
rnacentral:rRNA from 1 species